GGGGGUGAGUGGUAUCGACAGAGGGGAAGAUUCGUAGAUUGCAGGCCGAGGACGCCGGCUCCCUCGUAAAUCCGACGGCACGCCAGUAACUGGCAACUCUCAGAGCGCGCGAGCGCUCGCUUACGCGGCCUAAUCUCCGCGUACCUCCUGCCGGUCUCCGCCUGACGGACCGGUAACGAGGCCACCUAGUCAGGACGCUGCGCACCUGAUGCCGAGUACGGUGCGCAAAAGAUCACUCGGCUGGCGCAGAACGGUCCCUGUCGAUGGGGACCCGCAGCGCGAGACCCCAAUCAUCGACUACGCCUGUAGGACAUCUCGCGUCGACCCGCUCUGGACCGGAGAGUUCGACUCCUCCGCACCUCCACCA
rnacentral:tmRNA from 1 species